UUGAAAUGCCUGGCCCGGCUGAUCUGCUAAUCAGUCCGGACCGCAGAUCAGCUGGGGACAGGCAGAACUGAGCGUGUUGGCGUGGGCGGACCAACUCCCCCGCCUCCUCACGCCACAUUAUAUAUAAAUAUAUGACUAAAAAUGAUCAUAUUGUCCUAUACACUCAGUAGAGCUGAAGAACUGGAUACCGGGUGUAGAAAGCAGGAUGUUUGUUGGUGAUUGGAGAGAAAUGCAUUAUCCCAGAAUGGCCAGUUCAUUACUGCUGUCUGUCCUGUGUCUGACACUGCCUGCCACUGUUUCUCCUCAUCAUGGAUAUAAAUUCUCUGCAAGUGACGAGAGGUUCUACUGGCCUCCGUAUCCUGGGUUCCAUCAUUAUCCAAGUGUCCCACCAUCUUGGAUUCCUUGGUUUACUGUGCUUUAUCCUUUUAAUCCUGCCCCCGCCCCGGCUCCUGCCCCGGCUCCUGCCCCGGCUCCUGCCACUACACCUGGUCCAGUGGUCACUCGUGGAGACGGCUAGAAGAUACCAUACAGUAGAUCUGGAUUUCACUUAUAAAAACAAUUAAUUUAAUAGUUUUUACAGAAAAAGGAGCAGAAGUAAUGGGAUAGGAUGAUUUCUAAUUAUGAAAAUCAUGCUGUUUUGAAGCAUCAUGAUUAUCAGUAUUGUAAAAUUACAUACACUAAUGGUCAGAUGUUUUACAACGCCCCAGACUACCAGUGCUUUAAUAUAUAUAUAGUGCCCUGUAUAGGCAUGUCUAACAGUCAACCAUCUCUCACUAAGAGGUACACUACCCAAAAAAGUCCUCUCUUAAUCCAGACAUUAGACACCAUGAAGUUUAUGCUCUUUUUGUUUUACAAUACCAAAAUAUUUUUCUAAUUUUAUUCCAAAUCAUGUUAACAUAGUGUUAAAAAAUGUAAUUACACAAAUAUGCAGUAUAUAUAAGCACCAAAAUUAACAUUUUGGCCCAAAUACAGAACCUAUCCAUCCAUCCAUCCAUCCAUCCAUCCAUCCAUCCAUCCAUCCAUCCAUCCAUCCAUCCAUCCAUCCAUCCAUCC
rnacentral:lncRNA from 1 species